CCUACGGGAGGCAGCAGUGGGGAAUAUUGCACAAUGGGGGAAACCCUGAUGCAGCAACGCCGCGUGAGUGAAGAAGGUUUUCGGAUUGUAAACUUCUGUUCUUAGGGAAGAAUAAUAACGUUAGCGAAGGAGCAAGCCACGGCUAACUACUUCCCAGCAGCCGCGUUAAUACGUAGGGGGCAACCUUUUUCCGGAAUUACUGGGUGUAAAGGGAGCUCAGACGGGAGGCCAAGUCAGCUGUGAAAACUACGGGGUUAACUUGCAGACUGCACGUGAAACUGGAUUUCUGGAGUGCAGUAGAGGUAGGCGGAAUUCCGAGUGUAGCGGUGAAAUGCGUAGAUAUUAGGAGGAACACCGGUGGCGAAGGCGGAAAACUGGGCUUUAACUGACGCUGAGGCUCGAAAGUGUGGGGAGCAAACAGGAUUAGAUACCCUUGUAGUC
rnacentral:rRNA from 1 species